rnacentral:rRNA from 1 species
UUAAGCAUAGAGUUUGAUCCUGGCUCAGAAUCAACGCUGGCGGCGUGCCUAACACAUGCAAGUCGAACGCGGUUUCCCCGCAAGGGGAAACUGAGUGGCGAACGGGUGAGUAACACGUGGGUGACCUGCCUUCGAGUGGGGGAUAACAUCCCGAAAGGGGUGCUAAUACCGCAUGACAUCCUGCCUUUGAACAGGCGGAGAUCAAAGCCGGGGAUCGUAAGGCCUGGCGCUUGAAGAGGGGCCCGCGUCCGAUUAGCUAGUUGGUGGGGUAAUGGCCUACCAAGGCGACGAUCGGUAGCCGGCCUGAGAGGGCGGACGGCCACACUGGGACUGAGACACGGCCCAGACUCCUACGGGAGGCAGCAGUGGGGAAUUGUUCGCAAUGGGCGCAAGCCUGACGACGCAACGCCGCGUGGAGGAUGAAGAUCUUCGGGUCGUAAACUCCUUUCGAUCGGGACGAAUGGCCGGAGACCUAAUACGUCUUCGGAGUGACGGUACCGAGAGAAGAAGCCCCGGCUAACUCCGUGCCAGCAGCCGCGGUAAUACGGGGGGGGCAAGCGUUGUUCGGAAUUACUGGGCGUAAAGGGCGCGUAGGCGGCCUGCUAAGUCACACGUGAAAUCCCUCGGCUCAACCGGGGAACUGCGUGUGAUACUGGCGGGCUCGAAUUCGGGAGAGGGAUGUGGAAUUCCAGGUGUAGCGGUGAAAUGCGUAGAUAUCUGGAGGAACACCGGUGGCGAAGGCGGCAUCCUGGACCGAGAUUGACGCUGAUGCGCGAAAGCUAGGGUAGCAAACGGGAUUAGAUACCCCGGUAGUCCUAGCCCUAAACGAUGAGUGCUUGGUGUGGCGGGUAUCGAUCCCUGCCGUGCCGAAGCUAACGCAAUAAGCACUCCGCCUGGGGAGUACGG